rnacentral:rRNA from 1 species
GACGAACGCUGGCGGCGUGCUUAACACAUGCAAGUCGAACGGAAAGGCCCCUUUGGGGGUACUCGAGUGGCGAACGGGUGAGUAACACGUGAGUAACCUGCCCUUGACUUCGGGAUAACUUCAGGAAACUGGGGCUAAUACCGGAUAGGAAUCCUUGCUGCAUGGUGGGGGUUGGAAAGCUUCGGCGGUUUUGGAUGGACUCGCGGCUUAUCAGCUUGUUGGUGGGGUAGUGGCUUACCAAGGCUUUGUCGGGUAGCCGGCCUGAGAGGGCGACCGGCCACAUUGGGACUGAGAUACGGCCCAGACUCCUACGGGAGGCAGCAGUGGGGAAUAUUGCACAAUGGGCGGAAGCCUGAUGCAGCAACGCCGCGUGCGGGAUGACGGCCUUCGGGUUGUAAACCGCUUUCAGCAGGGGCGAAGCUUGUGGUGACGGUACCUGCAGAAGAAGCACCGGCUAACUACGUG